UACGUAGGGUUCGAGCGUUGUCCGGAAUUACUGGGCGUAAAGAGCUCGUAGGUGGUUUGUCGCGUUGUUCGUGAAAACUCACAGCUUAACUGUGGGCGUGCGGGCGAUACGGGCAGACUGGAGUACUGCAGGGGAGACUGGAAUUCCUGGUGUAGCGGUGGAAUGCGCAGAUAUCAGGAGGAACACCGGUGGCGAAGGCGGGUCUCUGGGCAGUAACUGACGCUGAGGAGCGAAAGCGUGGGGAGCGAACAGG
rnacentral:rRNA from 1 species